GGUGAAUACGUUCCCGGGCCUUGUACACACCGCCCGUCAAGCCAUGGGAGCCGGGGGUGCUUGAAGUGCGUCGCCGCAAGGCGCGCCCUAGAGCAAAACCGGUGACUGGGGCUAAGUCGUAACAAGGUACC
rnacentral:rRNA from 1 species